rnacentral:rRNA from 1 species
AACUGAAGAGUUUGAUCCUGGCUCAGAUUGAACGCUGGCGGCAUGCUUUACACAUGCAAGUCGAACGGUAACAGGGAGCUUGCUCCGCUGACGAGUGGCGAACGGGUGAGUAAUAUAUCGGAACGUACCCAAGAGUGGGGGAUAACGUAGCGAAAGUUACGCUAAUACCGCAUACGAUCUAUGGAUGAAAGCAGGGGAUCUUCGGACCUUGUGCUCCUGGAGCGGCCGAUAUCUGAUUAGCUAGUUGGUGAGGUAAAGGCUCACCAAGGCGACGAUCAGUAGCUGGUCUGAGAGGACGACCAGCCACACUGGAACUGAGACACGGUCCAGACUCCUACGGGAGGCAGCAGUGGGGAAUUUUGGACAAUGGGCGCAAGCCUGAUCCAGCAAUGCCGCGUGAGUGAAGAANGUCUGAGAGGACGACCAGCCACACUGGAACUGAGACACGGUCCAGACUCCUACGGGAGGCAGCAGUGGGGAAUUUUGGACAAUGGGCGCAAGCCUGAUCCAGCAAUGCCGCGUGAGUGAAGAAGGCCUUCGGGUUGUAAAGCUCUUUUGUCAGGGAAGAAACGGCUGUGGCUAAUAUCCACGGCUAAUGACGGUACCUGAAGAAUAAGCACCGGCUAACUACGUGCCAGCAGCCGCGGUAAUACGUAGGGUGCAAGCGUUAAUCGGAAUUACUGGGCGUAAAGCGUGCGCAGGCGGUUUUGUAAGUCUGUCGUGAAAUCCCCGGGCUCAACCUGGGAAUUGCGAUGGAGACUGCAAGGCUAGAAUCUGGCAGAGGGGGGUAGAAUUCCACGUGUAGCAGUGAAAUGCGUAGAGAUGUGGAGGAACACCGAUGGCGAAGGCAGCCCCCUGGGUCAAGAUUGACGCUCAUGCACGAAAGCGUGGGGAGCAAACAGGAUUAGAUACCCUGGUAGUCCACGCCCUAAACGAUGUCUACUAGUUGUCGGGUUUUAAUUAACUUGGUAACGCAGCUAACGCGUGAAGUAGACCGCCUGGGGAGUACGGUCGCAAGAUUAAAACUCAAAGGAAUUGACGGGGACCCGCACAAGCGGUGGAUGAUGUGGAUUAAUUCGAUGCAACGCGAAAAACCUUACCUACCCUUGACAUGUCAGGAAUGCCGAAGAGAUUUGGCAGUGCCCGAAAGGGAACCUGAACACAGGUGCUGCAUGGCUGUCGUCAGCUCGUGUCGUGAGAUGUUGGGUUAAGUCCCGCAACGAGCGCAACCCUUGUCAUUAGUUGCUACAUUUAGUUGAGCACUCUAAUGAGACUGCCGGUGACAAACCGGAGGAAGGUGGGGAUGACGUCAAGUCCUCAUGGCCCUUAUGGGUAGGGCUUCACACGUCAUACAAUGGUACAUACAGAGGGCCGCCAACCCGCGAGGGGGAGCUAAUCCCAGAAAGUGUAUCGUAGUCCGGAUCGUAGUCUGCAACUCGACUACGUGAAGUUGGAAUCGCUAGUAAUCGCGGAUCAGCAUGUCGCGGUGAAUACGUUCCCGGGUCUUGUACACACCGCCCGUCACACCAUGGGAGCGGGUUUUACCAGAAGUAGGUAGCUUAACCGCAAGGAGGGCGCUUACCACGGUAGGAUUCGUGACUGGGGUGAAGUCGUAACAAGGUAGCCGUAUCGGAAGGUGCGGCUGGAUCACCUCCUUU